AAUAAGCACCGGCUAACUCUGUGCCAGCAGCCGCGGUAAUACAGAGGGUGCGAGCGUUAAUCGGAUUUACUGGGCGUAAAGCGUGCGUAGGCGGCUUAUUAAGUCGGAUGUGAAAUCCCCGAGCUUAACUUGGGAAUUGCAUUCGAUACUGGUGAGCUAGAGUAUGGGAGAGGAUGGUAGAAUUCCAGGUGUAGCGGUGAAAUGCGUAGAGAUCUGGAGGAAUACCGAUGGCGAAGGCAGCCAUCUGGCCUAAUACUGACGCUGAGGUACGAAAGCAUGGGGAGCAAACAGGAUUAGAUACCCUGGUAGUCCAUGCCGUAAACGAUGUCUACUAGCCGUUGGGGCCUUUGAGGCUUUAGUGGCGCAGCUAACGCGAUAAGUAGACCGCCUGGGGAGUACGGUCGCAAGACUAAAACUCAAAUGAAUUGACGGGGGCCCGCACAAGCGGUGGAGCAUGUGGUUUAAUUCGAUGCAACGCGAAGAACCUUACCUGGCCUUGACAUACUAGAAACUUUCCAGAGAUGGAUUGGUGCCUUCGGGAAUCUAGAUACAGGUGCUGCAUGGCUGUCGUCAGCUCGUGUCGUGAGAUGUUGGGUUAAGUCCCGCAACGAGCGCAACCCUUUUCCUUACUUGCCAGCAUUUCGGAUGGGAACUUUAAGGAUACUGC
rnacentral:rRNA from 1 species